GACGGGUUCAAACAGAAAGAUGUUAAAAGCAGAGAAAACUUCAUCUUAUAAUCGGCAUGACUUUAUCAGAUGACAAUACCAAUACUAAAAUAAGGCUUACGCAUAGUUAUAUUCUUUAAUUCAGUCACAGACCCGCGAUAUCACGGAUGUGUUCUAGUAAAUAUAUAAAUAUAUAUACAUAUUAAGUUGUGAAUAUGGUGAAACUAAUCCUCAAAAUAAGUUUAAAAUGCCC
rnacentral:lncRNA from 1 species